rnacentral:rRNA from 1 species
GCGGCGGACGGGUGAGUAACACGUGGAUAACCUACCUAUAAGACUGGGAUAACUUCGGGAAACCGGAGCUAAUACCGGAUAACAUGUUAAACCGCAUGGUUCAACAGUGAAAGACGGUCUUGCUGUCACUUAUAGAUGGAUCCGCGCCGCAUUAGCUAGUUGGUAAGGUAACGGCUUACCAAGGCAACGAUGCGUAGCCGACCUGAGAGGGUGAUCGGCCACACUGGAACUGAGACACGGUCCAGACUCCUACGGGAGGCAGCAGUAGGGAAUCUUCCGCAAUGGGCGAAAGCCUGACGGAGCAACGCCGCGUGAGUGAAGAAGGUCUUCGGAUCGUAAAACUCUGUUAUUAGGGAAGAACAAAUGUGUAAGUAACUAUGCACGUCUUGACGGUACCUAAUCAGAAAGC